rnacentral:tRNA from 1 species
GGCGUGGUAGCUCAAUUGGUCAGAGCAUCGGAUUCAUAACUCGAAGGUAGAGGGUUCAAAACCCUCUCACGCUA